rnacentral:rRNA from 1 species
CCUACGGGUGGCAGCAGUGAGGAAUAUUGGUCAAUGGACGAGAGGCUGAACCAGCCAAGUAGCGUGAAGGAUGACUGCGCUAUGGGUUGUAAACUUCUUUUAUAAAGGAAUAAAACGAGGCACGUGUGCCUUUUUGCAUGUACUUUAUGAAUAAGGAUCGGCUAACUCCGUGCCAGCAGCCGCGGUAAUACGGAGGAUCCGAGCGUUAUCCGGAUUUAUUGGGUUUAAAGGGAGCGUAGAUGGGUUGUUAAGUCAGUUGUGAAAGUUUGCGGCUUAACCGUAAAAGUGCAAUUGAUACUGGCAGUCUUGAGUACAGUUGAGGUAGGCGGAAUUCGUGGUGUAGCGGUGAAAUGCUUAGAUAUCACGCAGAACCCCGAUUGCGAAGGCAGCUUACUAAACUGUGACUGACAUUGAUGCUCGAAAGUGUGGGUAUCAAACAGGAUUAGAUACCCUGGUAGUC